AGAGAGAGAGAGAGAGAGUAGAAUAAGAAUACUUCAGAUGUGCAGAAAAUAAUGUCACAUAACUAGAAAGACAAGUGAGUUAACCACAAUGCAUCAGCUCCUCUACAAGAAGAUAACCAAAUUCCAACCUAUGACCUCAGCUUUUGUGAAAUGCUAGAAUGAGGGAGGAAAAAGCAAGAAAAUAGAUGUGAUGGGCCUUUUUGCACAACUGACAUGGUCAUCUCCCCACAACAUGGUUCUAAAAGUUUGUGAUUCAAGAACAUGAAAAUAAGUUUAUUUUAUGAUACAAACAACAGGUAUCAACUGCAACCCUCCAAAAUCUGGCCACAACAAGACAAGCAGAUUACUUAUGAGCAAUCAAUCACAGUCUUCUUAUCUAAUCUCUGGUCCAAUUGGUCAAACAAAGGGGGGAAAAAAAAGAAGAAGCAACUUAUUUCUAUGCAUUUUUAGAAGAUUUUACGGAAUUACCUAUCCAUCACAAGGUGGACAAUA
rnacentral:misc_RNA from 1 species